AUCGAGCUUAAAAAAUUAUGUCAUCAUGACAUGAUGUUUAUUGCCCCUCCUGUCAACGUUAACAAAUCAGUUGAGACACACCAUCUCAACAGCCCAUAAUAUAUUAUUAUUAUUUAUUUUUACUUACUUUACGAUAAUGUUUGGCAAAGUUCGCGAAAACAUGUUUUAUGGGGUCAUCAAUCUUCUUGACUCCAUAUCGCUAGAGAGCCUAAAUUUAUAUGAUAAAAUAACUAACAAUUUAAUAACAACACUAAGGUUACAAUUCUCUAAACCGAGAUGCGGUGAUAAAUUCAUGGUGUGAUUUGAUUUUAAAAAUAAUUCGUUACAAAUUUGUAAAAUUGUAAGUUCUAAAUCUUUUUUUUUUCAAUGGAAAAUGCGGAAAAGGAAAGUGAAGAUGCUAAAGAAGUCGCUGAGAUAGCCAAAGAAGUGAUUGAAGGAGAGCAGAUAGAUUUGUUUAUUUAUUUCACACGUUGUAGGCGAACAGACCGAGGGCGAGCAUAUCGGAGGCGAAGUAGGAUGUGCGUCGCAAUGGAGACUACAACAUAUGGCCGCACCACUCUACAAGGUUUUCCCAAAAAAUUCAAAUAUAUUCCAAUAAAUCCA